GAUGAACGCUGGCGGCGUGCCUAAUACAUGCAAGUCGAACGAGGUCUUCGGACCUAGUGGCGAACGGGUGAGUAACACGUUGGUACCUGCCCCGAAGUGGGGAAUAACUGCCCGAAAGGGUGGCUAAUACCGCAUAAUACCGCACGGUUAAAGCAGUAAUGCGCUUCGGGAGGGGCCUGCGUCCCAUUAGCUAGUUGGUAGGGUAAUGGCCUACCAAGGCGACGAUGGGUAGCUGGAUCGAGAGGUUGACCAGCCACACUGGGACUGAGAUACGGCCCAGACUCCUACGGGAGGCAGCAGUAAGGAAUCUUCCACAAUGGACGAAAGUCUGAUGGAGCAACGCCGCGUGCAGGAUGACGGCCUUCGGGUUGUAAACUGCUUUUAUACGGGAAGAUUAUGACGGUACCGUAUGAAUAAGGACCGGCUAACUACGUGCCAGCCGCCGCAGUAA
rnacentral:rRNA from 1 species